CACGCAGGCGGUCCGUUAAAUUAGAAGUGAAAGCCCUGGGCUCAACCUGGGAAUUGCUUUUAAGACUGGCGGACUUGAAUCCAGAAGAGGGCAGUGGAAUUCCAAGUGUAGAGGUGAAAUUCGUAGAUAUUUGGAAGAACACCAGUGGCGAAGGCGACUGCCUGGUCUGGCAUUGACGCUCAUGUGCGAAAGCGUGGGGAGCAAACAGGAUUAGAUACCCUGGUAGUCCACGCUGUAAACGAUGGGUGCUAGUUGUUAGGGUACAUGUACCUUAGUGACGCAGCUAACGCAUUAAGCACCCCGCCUGGGGAGUACGGCCGCAAGGUUAAA
rnacentral:rRNA from 1 species